AGUAUUCCAAAAUUUUUGUAAUACCUGGAAAGACCAGGUAUAUAUCCAUUGGGAAUAAAUAUGACUGAAGUUUUACUGAGAUAUCUGAACAGCGGAGAUGUCACACAAGAUUAGUUUUGAUACUGUCCUUUUUUUAUCCAGGUUCCCUAUUUUGCCUCACUGAACACCUUAUAAAAGUGUUAUUGGAUUUCAACCAGCUUUGAGUCAGGAAUAGAGAUUUCAGGGGUUGCUGAUGCUGCUGAUGGAGGUGCUCCACAAAGGCCUCAUCCUGCACAUGCUGUGGAGGGAGCAUCAGGAAGGUGCAAUUAGCAUGGGGCUGACAAGUGGAACAACACAAAACCCAGAGCAAAGGUACAUGGCCACAGCUCAGAGACCAGAACACAAGAUAUUUGUUGCUCUCCAGAAGCAUAGCACAGAGAAAACCAGCAAGUCAUUGAGGG
rnacentral:lncRNA from 1 species